rnacentral:misc_RNA from 1 species
GAUGAAGAACGUAGCGAAAUGCGAUACGUAAUGUGAAUUGCAGAAUUCAGUGAAUCAUCGAGUCUUUGAACGCACAUUGCGCCCCCUGGUAUUCCGGGGGGCAUGCCUGUCCGAGCGUCAUUGCUGCCCUCAAGCACGGCUUGUGUGUUGGGCCUCCGUCUUCCUCCCGGGGGACGGGCCCGAAAGGCAGCGGCGGCACCGCGUCCGGUCCUCGAGCGUAUGGGGCUUCGUCACCCGCUCUUGUAGGCCCGGCCGGCGCUUGCCGACACAUCAAUCUUUUUUCCAGGUUGACCUCGGAUCAGGUAGGGAUACCCGCUGAACUUAAGCAUAUCAAUAAGCGAGGA